rnacentral:rRNA from 1 species
CCUACGGGAGGCAGCAGUGGGGAAUAUUGCACAAUGGGGGAAACCCUGAUGCAGCGAAGUCGCGUGAGUGAAGAAGUAUCUCGGUAUGUAAAGCUCUAUCAGCAGGGAAGAAAAUGACGGUACCUGAUUAAGAAGCCCCGGCUAACUACGUGCCAGCAGCCGCGGUAAUACGUAGGGGGCAAGCGUUAUCCGGAUUUACUGGGGGUAAAGGGAGCGUAGACGGGAGCACAAGUCUGGAGGGAAAGGCCGGGGGUUAACCCCGGAACUGCUUUGGAAACUGUGCAGCUAGAGUGCAGGAGAGGUAAGUGGAAUGCCUAGUGUAGCGGUGAAAUGCGUAGAUAUUAGGAAGAACACCGGUGGCGAAGGCGGCUUACUGGACUGUAACUGACGUUGAGGCUCGAAAGCGUGGGUAGCAAACAGGAUUAGAUACCCGAGUAGUC